GACGAACGCUGGCGGCGUGCUUAACACAUGCAAGUCGAACGGAAAGGCCCUGCUUUUGUGGGGUGCUCGAGUGGCGAACGGGUGAGUAACACGUGAGUAACCUGCCCUUGACUUUGGGAUAACUUCAGGAAACUGGGGCUAAUACCUGAUAGGAGCUCCUGCUGCAUGGUGGGGGUUGGAAAGUUUCGGCGGUUGGGGAUGGACUCGCGGCUUAUCAGCUUGUUGGUGGGGUAGUGGCUUACCAAGGCUUUGACGGGUAGCCGGCCUGAGAGGGUGACCGGCCACAUUAGGACUGAGAUACGGCCCAGACUCCUACGGGAGGCAGCAGUGGGGAAUAUUGCACAAUGGGCGGAAGCCUGAUGCAGCAACGCCGCGUGCGGGGUGACGGCCUUCGGGUUGUAAACCGCUUUCGCCUGUGACGAAGCGUGAGUGACGGUAAUGGGUAAAGAAGCACCGGCUAACUACGUG
rnacentral:rRNA from 1 species